rnacentral:rRNA from 1 species
UACGGGGGGGGCAAGCGUUGUUCGGAAUUACUGGGCGUAAAGGGUCUGUAGGUGGCUUGCUAAGUCAGUCGUGAAAUCCCUCAGCUUAACUGGGGAACUGCGUCUGAGACUGGCGAGCUUGAGGGCAGGAGAGGAACGCGGAAUUCCAGGUGUAGCGGUGAAAUGCGUAGAUAUCUGGAGGAACACCGGUGGCGAAGGCGGCGUUCUGGACUGCAUCUGACACUGAAAGACGAAAGCCAGGGGAGCAAACGGG